rnacentral:rRNA from 1 species
ACUCUGACCGUGCAAAGGUAGCAUAAUCAUUUGCCUUAUAAUUGAAGGCUAGUAUGAAUGGUUUGACGAGAAUUAAGCUGUCUCUUUUUAACUAAAUAUAACUUUAUCGAUAGGUGAAGAAGCCUAUGUUUAAUUGAAAGACAAGAAGACCCUAUCGAGCUUUAAGAAAUUUAAUAGGCUUACCAUAUAUUUAUAAAAAAGUAAGGCUGCUAAGAACUUUGGUUGGGGCGACUGAGGAACAAAUAAAGCUUCCUUUAAAUUAAAAGACUUACAAGUAUUGAUCCAACAAAUUUGAUUAAAGGAAUUAGUUACCGUAGGGAUAACAGCAUAAUCCCUUUUGAGAGUUCUCAUCGAAAAGGGGGUUUGUGACCUCGAUGUUGGACCAGAAUACCCAGAAGAUGCAGCCGUCUUCAAUGGUUGGUCUGUUCGACCAUUAAAAUUCUACGUGAUCUGAGUUCAGACCGGCCUGAGCCAGGUCAGUUUCUAUCUUCAAUUUCUAUAGUGGCCUUAGUACGAAAGGACCAGGUUAUUACAAGACCAUUUGUAACAUUCUGAUUAAAUAUAAAGUUUAAUUAAAUCUAU